rnacentral:rRNA from 1 species
AUGGCUUGGUUGAGUUGGGAUAAGAUGAGUUUGCCGAAAUCUAUGGGGGGCAUGGGUUUUUGAGAUAUGAGGGCAUUCAACCAGGCACUUCUCGCGAAGCAAGCCUGGAGACUUCUAGAUGCCCCUGAAAGUUUAUGUGCAAGAUUAUUGAAAGCCAAGUAUUUUGCUUCAGGACACCUCCUCGACACGGUGUUUACGGGUAAUGGUUCUGCAAUAUGGAAGGGUAUAUUGCACUGUCUCGAGUUGUUAAAGAAGGGCAUAAUUUGGCGCGUGGGGAAUGGGUCUCUUAUCCGUACCUGGAGAGAUCCUUGGAUUCUGCGUCCCUAUUCCUACCGACCUAUUACCCCAAAGCGCAACUGUCGGUUUAAUAGGGUUUCUGACUUUUUGGAUGGAAAUGGUGCAUGGAGAUUGGAUAGGCUUCGGGAUCACUUUUGGGCUCUGGACAUUGAACAUAUUCUGAAAAUACGAACUUCCCCAAGGCAGCGUAUGGAUUUUGUCUCAUGGGCUCCUGAGAAAAAUGGUGUGUUCACGGUCAAAAGUGCUAAACUGGCUACAUGCGAUCAUAAUGUUUCAUUCGCAGGAGGUUCUUCUAGCUCUGUUCCGAGUGGAUGCCUCUCUAUUUGGAAUUGCAUAUGGAACUCCUCAGUUCCCCAACGGAUGAAAAUCUCUGGAGUAAAUUGCAAAAAAACCACAAUUGGGGACCCUAAUUCAAAAAAUCACUACCAUUCCAUUUUUUUUCAAAAACCCACCACCAUCGUGCUGACAUUUUUCAAAAAACACUGA